rnacentral:rRNA from 1 species
CAAGCGUUGUUCGGAAUUACUGGGCGUAAAGGGCUCGUAGGCGGCCAACUAAGUCAGACGUGAAAUCCCUCGGCUUAACCGGGGAACUGCGUCUGAUACUGGAUGGCUUGGAUUCGGGAGAGGAAUGCGGAAUUCCAGGUGUAGCGGUGAAAUGCGUAGAUAUCUGGAGGAACACCGGUGGCGAAGGCGGCAUUCUGGACCGAUAUUGACGCUGAGGAGCGAAAGCCAGGGGAGCAAACGGG